CUAAUACAUGCAAGUCGAACGAAGUGCGAACGGGUGAGUAAUACAUAGGUAACCUGCCCCUGUGCGGGGGAUAACAGGAGGAAACUCCUGCUAAUACCGCAUACGCAGGGAUGGACCUAUGGCGCAUUAGCUAGUUGGCGGGGCAACGGCCCACCAAGGCAACGAUGCGUAGCCGGCCUGAGAGGGCGGACGGCCACAUUGGGACUGAGACACGGCCCAGACUCCUACGGGAGGCAGCAGUAGGGAAUUUUCGGCAAUGGGGGAAACCCUGACCGAGCAACGCCGCGUGAGCGAAGAAGGCCUUCGGGUCGUAAAGCUCUGUUGUAAAGGAAGCGGUACUUUACCAGAAAGCCACGGCUAACUCGUGCCAGCAGCCGCGGUAAUACGUAGGUGGCGAGCGUUAUCCGGAAUCAUUGGGCGUAAAGAGGGAGCAGGCGGCCGCAAGGGUCUGUGGUGAAAGACCGAAGCUAAACUUCGGUAAGCCAUGGAAACCGGGCGGCUAGAGUGCGGAAGAGGAUCGUGGAAUUCCAUGUGUAGCGGUGAAAUGCGUAGAUAUAUGGAGGAACACCAGUGGCGAAUCGACGGUCUGGGCCGCAACUGACGCUCAUUCCCGAAAGCGUGGGGAGCAAAUAGGAUUAGAUACCCUAGUAGUCCACGCCGU
rnacentral:rRNA from 1 species